rnacentral:rRNA from 1 species
ACUGGUUGAUCCUGCCAGUAGUCAUAUGCUUGUCUUAAAGAUUAAGCCAUGCAUGUUUAAGUUCAUACCUUUGAAUGGUGAAACCGCGAAUGGCUCAUUAAAUCAGUUAUAAUUUCAUGGGAUGUGUUUUGUUAAUUGGAUAACUGUGGUCAUUCUAGAGCUAAUAUAUGCAUAUACGUUCAGCUUCGGUUGGAUGUGCUUUUAGUAGUGCAAACCAUGUCGUAAGAUUAUAGGUGGUGACUCUGAAUAACUUUGCCGAGCAUUUCGGCCUUGUGUCGGUGCUAUUCCUUCAAAGUAUCUGCUCUAUCAACUGUCGAUGGUAUAUUAUAUGUUUACCAUGGUUGUAACGGGUAACGGGGAAUUAGGGUUCGAUUCCAGAGAGGGGACCUGAGAAACGGCUACCACAUCUAAGGAAGGCAGCAGGCGCGCAAAUUACCCAAUCCCGGCUCGGGGAGGUAGUGACAAAAAAUAACAAUGCGGGUCUUAAAUGAGGCUUCGUAAUUGGAAUGAGUACAUUCUAAAUCCUUAACGAGGAACUAUUGGAGGGCAAGUCUGGUGCCAGCAGCCGCGGUAAUUCCAGCUCCAAUAGCGUUUAUUAAAAUUGUUGCGUCUAAAAAGCUCGUAGUUUGAAAACUUGCCUUGACUUGCAAUAGGUCCACAUGGGCUACCGGUUGUCGAGCGCAAAUAUGGAUGACUGUUUUUGUCGGCUUACUUGUUUGGCUUAUAAGAGUCAUCAAAUAUCACACACACACACAUAUAUAUAUAUAUAUAUAUAUAUAUAUAUAUAUAUACAUAUAUAUAUACUUGCAAAGAACAUGUUAUCAUGAGAGUUUAUUGAAUAUAUAAGGAUGCUUGUCUUUAACGCCCAACACUUCGGUCAUUGCUGUUGUGUUUUAUAUGUUUUGCGAUGUACCACUGAGUAAAAGUGAAGUUUCACAACACGCUUUGUAGGGUGCCGCGCCGGUUUUCACAUGCCAGAUGCACGUGUGAACGCAGGCUCUAGAAGAUGAGUACACUUCUCAGAAGUUUCAAUAUUUCCAACCAGCAUAUUUGGGCAGCAACAGACAUAAUCAAUUACAUCGAUCCAUCUAGAUUUUAUCAAUUGUUGUUG